rnacentral:rRNA from 1 species
UACGGAGGGGGCUAGCGUUGUUCGGAAUUACUGGGCGUAAAGCGCACGUAGGCGGGUCUUUAAGUCAGGGGUGAAAUCCUGGAGCUCAACUCCAGAACUGCCUUUGAUACUGAAGAUCUUGAGUUCGGGAGAGGUGAGUGGAACUGCGAGUGUAGAGGUGAAAUUCGUAGAUAUUCGCAAGAACACCAGUGGCGAAGGCGGCUCACUGGCCCGGUACUGACGCUGAGGUGCGAAAGCGUGGGGAGCAAACAGG